rnacentral:rRNA from 1 species
GACGAACGCUGGCGGCGUGCUUAACACAUGCAAGUCGAACGGUAAGGCCCUUCGGGGUACACGAGUGGCGAACGGGUGAGUAACACGUGGGUGAUCUGCCCUGCACUUCGGGAUAAGCCUGGGAAACUGGGUCUAAUACCGGAUAGGACCACUGCCUGCAUGGGUGGUGGUGGAAAGCUUUUGCGGUGUGGGAUGGGCCCGCGGCCUAUCAGCGUGUUGGUGGGGUGAUGGCCUACCAAGGCGACGACGGGUAGCCGGCCUGAGAGGGUGACCGGCCACACUGGGACUGGGAUACGGCCCAGACUCCUACGGGAGGCAGCAGUGGGGAAUAUUGCACAAUGGGCGCAAGCCUGAUGCAGCGACGCCGCGUGAGGGAUGACGGCCUUCGGGUUGUAAACCUCUUUCAGCACCGACGAAGCGCAAGUGACGGUAGGUGCAGAAGAAGGACCGGCCAACUACGUGCCAGCAGCCGCCGUAA